AUUACUUGUAACAGACAUUAAAUCAGCGUCUUUUCCGUAGUGUCUACUGCAGGAUGGAUGUAAAGUAUAAAACACGUUUUGGUUUGACAACAUCGUUCAUAUGUGAACUAUAACAAUUAAAGCACAAAGACAUAACAUUACACCCCGAGACCUUUCACAAGUGCGACAAAAGAGAAGAAACGCUUUCCGGAAGAAGUUCAUCAGGCGAGUUGGAGACUAGUCGACUCAUCCAGUUUAGCGGAGAGCAAUAACCCCUAAUUGGCAUGAGGAAAAAAUCAUUGAAAAGUGUUCAGUGUACAGUGUACCCCUCUUUGCAGCAGAGGAAGCUUUAGGAAAGAGGAGAAGAGAGAAAGUGAAAAGGCUCUCAACAGAUGUUGAGUUUGGGUUCCUUGCCGCUGUCGACUUUUGGCGUGCUUAUUUGGGGACUAAUAAUAUUCAGCAGUAUUAUUGAUCUGACUCCACUGACACUAUUGAUGAGGACUGAACUGAGCUAGAUGAUGACACCACUGCUAUCUAGAUGCACUGAAAUUAUUUUAUAUUUGAUGAUUUUUAUACAGUUAAUCGAAAUUAACUGAGUCAACACUGAUUUCAACUGAACGAUGACGUUUUACUGUUUAGAGCUGCUUCACAGCAGAUGUGAAUUCUGUUUGCAUCAUUAUUUUUCUUUUUAUCACUGUAAAGCAGCACUGAAACAAUCUGUAUUGUAUAAAGCGCUAUAUAAAUAAUGGUGACUUGACUUAAAUUGGUUCAAAUCUUCAAAAAAAAGUGCAUGAAACAGUCAACCUGAAUAAACACAAAAUACAGUUUAUUAAUGAUAACUGUAUUUGCCUUUGUUUUAUGUUAAUUUUCUUAGGAAUAUCUGACAAUAUUUAGUGCUGGAUAUACUAAAAAAUUUAAUAAAUCAGGAUUUUUUUCACAGCACUGUACACCAGCAUUUAUGUGCAGUAGUGUGACAUUAAUGUGUGGAAAUGGACAUUUUAUCAGUGUGUGAUUGCUAUUUUCAGGAAAUGCACUGGUAACAACUAAAAAAAGAUGACCAAAAAUAUAAUUCAACAGAGGAUGAUGGCUGUGGUGAAACAAGCACUCAAA